rnacentral:rRNA from 1 species
GUUAGCGGCGGACGGGUGAGUAACACGUGGGUAACCUGCCCAUAAGACUGGGAUAACUCCGGGAAACCGGGGCUAAUACCGGAUAACAUUUUGAACCGCAUGGUUCGAAAUUGAAAGGCGGCUUCGGCUGUCACUUAUGGAUGGACCCGCGUCGCAUUAGCUAGUUGGUGAGGUAACGGCUCACCAAGGCAACGAUGCGUAGCCGACCUGAGAGGGUGAUCGGCCACACUGGGACUGAGACACGGCCCAGACUCCUACGGGAGGCAGCAGUAGGGAAUCUUCCGCAAUGGACGAAAGUCUGACGGAGCACCGCCGCGUGAGUGAUGAAGGCUUUCGGGUCGUAAAACUCUGUUGUUAGGGAAGAACAAGUGCUAGUUGAAUAAGCUGGCACCUUGACGGUACCUAACCAGAAAGCCACGGCUAACUACGUGCCAGCAGCCGCGGUAAUACGUAGGUGGCAAGCGUUAUCCGGAAUUAUUGGGCGUAA